rnacentral:rRNA from 1 species
UGUGAAUUGCAGAAUCCCGUGAACCAUUGAGUCUUUGAACGCAAGUUGCGCCCUAAGCCAUUAGGCCGAGGGCACGUCUGCCUGGGUGUCACGU